GUGGACACGGAGUGUAGAGUUUUCCAAGAAAAAUGGUCCGUUUCCUAUUUAUUCACAGAGUGUGAUUCAAAUUUGAAGGACACAUUUGCCUCGGUGGGCUUGGACUCCUGCUACUCAAGAUUUGACGCCUGAUAUUGAUGCACUUGACGCUAAAAGAUGCCAAGUUUCAGGAGCAAACUGAACUUUGCUUCACGAUCCUCCUCUCUUCUCCUCCUGUGUUUGGCUGAGCUAAACGGGGCUCUCAGUGUUUCCAGCGCUGGGCUGUCUAAUCCCCAUGCAGAGCCCGCACCUGUGGCUGAUAGGAUCCUUCUGGAGUACAAAGGCUCUGAUUUACAGCCCCGAGGAGCUGCAGAACGGCAGGAAAGGGAAGUUGUUCAUCACGCUGUGUGCACUUCACCAGCAAUAGUUGCUGUGCUGCUAGUGAGGGCCAGACCCUUGAACUGCACCUAAAUGACAGGUGGCAAAAUAAUGCCUUUUUGUUACAAAUUACAUUUUAUAAACAAUGCCUGU